CUACGGGAGGCAGCAGUGAGGAAUAUUGCACAAUGGGGGGAACCCUGAUGCAGCAACGCCGCGUGGAGGAUGACGCAUUUCGGUGUGUAAACUCCUUUUAUAUGUCAAGAAAAUGACGGUAGCAUAUGAAUAAGCACCGGCUAACUUCGUGCCAGCAGCCGCGGUAAUACGAGGGGUGCAAGCGUUAUUCGGAAUUACUGGGUGUAAAGGGUGUGUAGGCGGUUUAUCAAGUCUGUUGUUAAAUCUUUCAGCCUAACUUAAAGCUUGCAGUGGAAACUGGUUUACUAGAGAGCGGAAGAGAGAGAUGGAAUUCUCGGAGUAGCGGUAAAAUGCGUGGAUCUCGAGAGGAACACCGAUGGCGAAGGCAGUCUCUUGGUCCGUUUCUGACGCUGAGACACGAAAGCGUGGGGAGCAAACAGGAUUAGAUACCCUUGUAGUC
rnacentral:rRNA from 1 species